CAAAGGAGGAUCUUUUAGAAGGGAAACUGCUACUUCAAGACAUAUGCUUAGAAGGGACAAUGAGUUUAGACAGCAAUAUUCAUCUAUUGUUCUGCUAACUGUUAAGCACUUCUCUAUCUCUGGAAUCAUACCUCAGUCACUUGGUUCCUGUGAAUGUGAAGUGACCGAAUCAAACUGAGGAGGUCAAAACACUUUUCGUAUUUAAAACCUUGUACUCUCUUGUUAGUGUAGAAGAGCAAACCUUCUAAAGUUCUUGAGAGAUGGCUUUAGAGACAUGUGGAAGCUGUUUGAGUUGUCUGCUGAUACCUCUUGCACUUUGGAGUAUUGUUGUUAACAUCCUAUUAUACUUCCCUAAUGGGAAAGCUUCACAUGCUGCCAGUUACCAGCUUCCCAACUACGUCUGGUAUUUUGAAGGGAUCUGUUUCUCAGGUGUGAUGAUCCUUCUGUUGGCGAUAAUUCUAAUAACACUGGAGUGCAGCAUGUUCUAUCGGUGCUGCCAGAGUGAGAGCUGUAACAAAACCUACAGGAGUUUUAUUUCAAUUGUGCUAGCCCUGCUUGGAGUUGCUUUCUCUGGAUACAGUUGCAUCAUUUUUACCUUGGGGUUGAUCCAAGGCCCCUUCUGCAAUUCAUCAGGUGGAUGGGAUUAUAUCUUCAAAGACACUGCUGGAGGGUACCUCACAGAUUACUCUGCUUGGUCGCGGUGCACCGAACCUGCUAACAUAGUGGAGUGGAACAUCAUUUUACUCUCUGUUCUGAUAGCACUUAGUGGACUGCAGUUGAUCAUCUGUUCUCUCAAAGUGGCUGCUGAGUUGAAACGGACCCUCUGUGGGACCUAUUCUGUUUUUGUCCAGGCCAGGAUUCUGUGAAAAUUGCAAGGAAAUCUUCACUGCUUCUACCCCGCCCUCCAGAAAAAGAGAGAAAUGGCUUCUCCAACAUUUACAAUGGAUAAUUUUUGAAGUAAAACAUCAGCUUUAUAUUUUCGAUGCAAUUUUGAGGACUUUCAGAACAGUCAUAGCAUGUCAGCAUCCUCAGUAUGAGAAAUGAGUUAAUUUACAGAUGGGGCAUAUGCAACCUGUACAAGCUGAUCUUUCCACUGAACCAGUGACCUUCAUCCAUAGCAAAGAAAAAAAAAAGUCCCUACAGAAAUAAUUUUGAGCAUGUGACACCAACCUGGGAAACUACAGAGUUUCAUCAUUGAUUUGGACAGAUUUCGAAAACUUGGCUUUGAACACAAGCAUUCAGACAGAAGCAGAAUCCUCCAUUUAAUGCAGACAUGUAGAAGGUUCCAAAAGGUGAAAGUAUGAACUUCAGUAUUCUGACAGUGCCUGAAAUUUUUUAUAUUAAUAGUGAUUAAAAUUGGGAAUUUUUCUGUAUAGCACAGUCCUGGUAAAUAAAGUUUAGGUUUGUAUGUAAUUAGAGGAAACCUGUCUACUUUAGUUAUGUUCUAAAUCUUAGUCUUCUAUCCAAAAUAAUCAUAAUUUUUUUCUGACCAUUAAGAAAAUAGCAUCAAAGAAUACUGUGGUUAUUACAGACAUUUUUAAGUUGCCAUACAAGGAAAAAUGUCAUUUAGAAUGAGUGUGACUGUGUCAGCGCUCAGAGUGCAGAAGAGAUUUUUUUUUUAAGAAUUCCCAAGUGACUGAAGAGAUAUAUUUUUUAAUAGAAGUCUUUGCAAGUUUACAGGUGGCUUUGUAUGUUUAAAUGAUGUAAUGGCUGUAUGCUUGAAAAAAAUGCAAUUGCAGACUUUAGUUAGGUGGGUUUUUUUAAACAUCCCAUGUUCAAGGUCCAAUUUUGCUCUUAUUUUUUCAAUGAGACUAACAAAUACAAAAUGUUUACAUAAUUUGAAUAAAGUAAAAUUACAGCCUGCUGCACUGGGUAGUAUAUUUAGAUAAUGGUAACAGUUAAGGUUAUCUGGGUCUUUAUACAUCUAUCACGCUAUUAAUCAUUGAAGAAUGCGGCUUACCCUGUCUGGUGAUAGACCAGGAGGAAGAUAACAGAGUGAGUUCAUUUUGUGGCAUUUCUGAGC